rnacentral:rRNA from 1 species
GACGAACGCUGGCGGCGUGCUUAACACAUGCAAGUCGAACGGAAAGGCCCUGCUUUUGUGGGGUGCUCGAGUGGCGAACGGGUGAGUAACACGUGAGUAACCUGCCCUUGACUUUGGGAUAACUUCAGGAAACUGGGGCUAAUACCGGAUAGGAGCUCCUGCUGCAUGGUGGGGGUUGGAAAGUUUCGGCGGUUGGGGAUGGACACGCGGCUUAUCAGCUUGUUGGUGGGGUAGUGGCUUACCAAGGCUUUGACGGGUAGCAGGCCUGAGAGGGUGACCGGCCACAUUGGGACUGAGGUACGGCCGAGACUCCUACGGGAGGCAGCAGUGGGGAAUAUUGCACAAUGGGCGGAAGCCUGAUGCAGCAACGCCGCGUGCGGGAUGACGGCCUUCGGGUUGUAAACCGCUUUCGCCUGUGACGAAGCGUGAGUGACGGUAAUGGGUAAAGAAGCACCGGCUAACUACGUG